AGCAGCCGCGGUAAUUCCAGCUCCAAUAGCGUAUAUUAAAGUUGCUGCAGUUAAAAAGCUCGUAGUUGAAUUUCGGGACCAAUAUGUCGGUCGUGCCUCGGUACGUACUGGCAUCGUUGGUUUCUCCUUUCUGAAGAACCAUGAUGUCAUUUAUUUGGUGUCGUGGGGAAUCAGGACUGUUACUUUGAAAAAAUUAGAGUGUUUAAAGCAGGCUCACGCUUGAAUACAUUAGCAUGGAAUAAUGAAAUAGGACGUUUGAUUCUAUUUUGUUGGUUUCUAGGAUCGACGUAAUGAUUAAUAGGGAUAGUUGGGGGCAUUAGUAUUCAAUUGUCAGAGGCGAAAUUCUUGGAUUUAUUGAAGACUAACUACUGCGAAAGCAUUUGCCAAGGAUGUUUUCAUUAAUCAAGAACGAAAGUUAGGGGAUCGAAGACGAUCAGAUACCGUCGUAGUCUUAACCAUAAACUAUGCCGACUAGGGAUCGGAUGAUGUUAAUUUUUUAAUGACUCAUUCGG
rnacentral:misc_RNA from 1 species